UCCCUGGAAGUCCAGUGGUUAAGACUCUGCACUUUCAAUGCAGAGGACAUGGGGUUUGAUCUCUUUUUGGGGAA
rnacentral:tRNA from 1 species